GAUGUCUUCGGACCAAAGAUUUAUCGGCAAAGGAUGAGCCCGCGUAGGAUUAGGUAGUUGGUGGGGUAAAGGCCUACCAAGCCGACGAUCCUUAGCUGGUCUGAGAGGAUGAUCAGCCACACUGGGACUGAGACACGGCCCAGACUCCUACGGGAGGCAGCAGUGGGGAAUAUUGGACAAUGGGCGAAAGCCUGAUCCAGCAAUGCCGCGUGAGUGAUGAAGGCCUUCGGGUCGUAAAGCUCUUUUACCAGGGAUGAUAAUGACAGUACCUGGAGAAUAAGCUCCGGCUAACUCCGUG
rnacentral:rRNA from 1 species